UACGUAGGGGGCAAGCGUUGUUCGGAAUUACUGGGCGUAAAGGGCGCGUAGGCGGCACGGCAAGUCGGGAGUGAAAGCCCGGGGCUCAACCCCGGAGGGUCUCUCGAGACUGCCGAGCUAGAGUGCGGAAGAGGCAACCGGAAUUCCCAGUGUAGCGGUGAAAUGCGUAGAUAUCAGGAGGAACACCCGUGGCGAAAGCGGCUCUCUGGGACGGUACUGACGCUGAGACGCGAAAGCGUGGGGAGCAAACAGG
rnacentral:rRNA from 1 species